rnacentral:rRNA from 1 species
AUUGAACGCUGGCGGCAGGCUUAACACAUGCAAGUCGAACGAGCGGCGGACGGGUGGGUAAUGUAUUAGCAACUGCCUGAUGGAGGGGGAUGACUACUGGAACAGGUGGCUACAGCCGCAUACCAUCAGAUGUGCCCAGAUGGGAUUAGCUAGUAGGUGGGGUAAUGGCUCACCGAGGCGACGAUCCCUAGCUGGUCUGAGAGGAUGACCAGCCACACUGGAACUGAGACACGGUCCAGACUCCUACGGGAGGCAGCAGUGGGGAAUAUUGCACAAUGGGCGCAAGCCUGAUGCAGCCAUGCCGCGUGUGUGAAGAAGGCCUUCGGGUUGUAAAGCACUUUUAGUGGGGAGGCGUUACUCGCAGAAGAAGCACCGGCUAACUCCGUGCCAGCAGCCGCGGUAAUUC